rnacentral:rRNA from 1 species
CGGUGUUCAACUGGCGUGCCCGCGGGACGUCCUGCCGGUGAGCUCAGCCCGCGAGGGCGGCUCAACUUGAAAUCCCAUCGCGGUGCUCUUCAUUGAGUGUCGAGGUGGGCCGGCACGAUUACUUUUGAACAAAUUAGAGUGCUUAAAGCAGGCUAAAAUUUUGCCUGAAUACUGUGUAUAUGGAAUAAUGGAAUAGGACCUCGGUUCUAUUUUGUUGGUUUUCGGAACCCCGAGGUAAUGAUUAAUAGGAACGGAUGGGGGCAUUCGUAUUGCGACGUUAGAGGUGAAAUUCUUGGAUCGUCGCAAGACGGACUAAAGCGAAAGCAUUUGCCAAAAACGCUUUCAUUGAUCAAGAACGAAAGUUAGAGGUUCGAAGGCGAUCAGAUACCGCCCUAGUUCUAACCAUAAACUAUGCCAGCUAGCGAUCCGCCGACGUCCCUCUGAUGACUCGGCGGGCAGCUUCCGGGAAACCAAAGCUUUUGGGUUCCGGGGGAAGUAUGGUUGCAAAGCUGAAACUUAAAGGAAUUGACGGAAGGGCACCCACCAGGAGUGGAGCCUGCGGCUUAAUUUGACUCAACACGGGAAACCUCACCAGGCCCAGACACUGGAAGGAUUGACAGAUUGAGAGCUCUUUCUUGAUUCAGUGGGUGGUGGUGCAUGGCCGUUCUUAGUCGGUGGAGCGAUUUGUCAGGUUAAUUCCGAUAACGGACGAGACUCUGACCUGAUAACUAGACGCACUUGCGGCAUCUCAAAGGUCCGCCGGCGGCUGGCUUUGCGCCCGUCGUCGCGCGCGAUUUUUACUGCCGGCGUACAAUAAAUUCUUCUAGAGGGACAAGUGG